rnacentral:rRNA from 1 species
AGAGUUUGAUCAUGGCUCAGAUUGAACGCUGGCGGCAGGCCUAACACAUGCAAGUCGAGCGGUAGAGAGAAGCUUGCUUCUCUUGAGAGCGGCGGACGGGUGAGUAAUGCCUAGGAAUCUACCUAUGAGUGGGGGAUAACUCGGGGAAACUCGAGCUAAUACCGCAUAAGCCCUUUGGGGGAAAGCGGGGGAUCUUCGGACCUCGCGCUGAUAGAUGAGCCUGCGUAGGAUUAGCUAGUUGGUAGGGUAAAGGCCUACCAAGGCGACGAUCCUUAGCUGGUCUGAGAGGACGACCAGCCACACUGGGACUGAGGCACGGCCCAGACUCCUACGGGAGGCAGCAGUGGGGAAUAUUGGACAAUGGGCGCAAGCCUGAUCCAGCAAUGCCGCGUGUGUGAAGAAGGCCUGCGGGUUGUAAAGCACUUUGAGUGGGGAAGAAGGCCGGGGAGGAAACCUUCUGAUGCGG